rnacentral:rRNA from 1 species
CUGAACCAGCCAAGUAGCGUGAAGGAUGAAGGUCCUACGGAUUGUAAACUUCUUUUAUACGGGAAUAAAGUAUCCUACGUGUAGGAUUUUGUAUGUACCGUAUGAAUAAGCAUCGGCUAACUCCGUGCCAGCAGCCGCGGUAAUACGGAGGAUCCGAGCGUUAUCCGGAUUUAUUGGGUUUAAAGGGAGCGCAGACGGGAGAUUAAGUCAGUUGUGAAAGUUUGCGG